GCCGGGUGCGGUGGCUCACGCCUGUAAUCCCAGCACUUUGGGAGGCUGAGGUGGAAGGCUCACUUGAGCUCAGGAAUUCGAGGCUGCAGUGAGCUAGGAUCACGCCACUACACUGCAGCCUGGGCAACAGAGUGAGACCCUGUCUCUU
rfam:Pan troglodytes isolate Yerkes chimp pedigree #C0471 (Clint) chromosome 22, whole genome shotgun sequence.